UACAGAGGGGGCAAGCGUUGUUCGGAAUUACUGGGCGUAAAGGGCGCGUAGGCGGCCUGUUAAGUCGAACGUGAAAUCCCCGGGCUCAACCCGGGAACUGCGUCCGAUACUGGCAGGCUUGAAUUCGGGAGAGGGAUGCGGAAUUCCAGGUGUAGCGGUGAAAUGCGUAGAUAUCUGGAGGAAUACCGGUGGCGAAGGCGGCAUCCUGGACCGACAUUGACGCUGAUGAGCGAAAGCUAGGGGAGCAAACGGG
rnacentral:rRNA from 1 species